CACGUAGGAGGCAAACGUUAUCCGGAUUUACUGGGCGUAAAGCGCGUGUAGGUGGUUCUGUAAGUAGGGCGUGAAAGCUCCCGGCUCAACUGGGAGAGGCCGUUCUAAACUGCAGAGCUAGAGGAUGGUAGAGGGAGGUGGAAUUCCAGGUGUAGCGGUGGAAUGCGCAGAUAUCUGGAGGAACGCCAGUGGCGAAGGCGGCCUCCUGGACCAUUCCUGACACUCAGACGCGAAAGCUAGGGUAGCAAACGGGAUUAGAUACCCGUGUAGUCCCU
rnacentral:rRNA from 1 species